rnacentral:rRNA from 1 species
AGAGUUUGAUCAUGGCUCAGAACGAACGUUGGCGGCGUGGAUUAGGCAUGCAAGUCGAACGAAUCCCAGCUUUGUAGCAAUACCGAGCUGGGGGAAGUGGCGAAAGGGGCAGUAAUGCGUGGGUAAUCUACCUCGGGGACGUGGAUAGCCAUUCUAACGAGUGGGUAAUACGCGGCGAUUUGGUUGAGGGGCAUCCCUUGGCCAGGAAAUGAAUUUCGCCUCGAGAGGAACUCACGUGAUAUUAGCUAGUUGGCGGGGUAACGGCCCACCAAGGCAAAGAUGUCUAGCGGGUGUGAGAGCACGACCCGCGCCACUGGCACUGAGACACUGGCCAGACACCUACGGGUGGCUGCAGUCGAGGAUCUUCGGCAAUGGGCGCAAGCCUGACCGAGCGACGCCGCGUGUGCGAUGAAGGCCUUCGGGUUGUAAAGCACUGUCGAGGGGGAGGAAGCCGAAAGGUUGACCUAUCCCUGGAGGAAGCACGGGCUAAGUUCGUGCCAGCAGCCGCGGUAAGACGAACCGUGCGAACGUUGUUCGGAAUCACUGGGCUUAAAGGGCGCGUAGGCGGCUUGCCAAGUCAGGGGUGAAAUCCUGCAGCUUAACUGUAGAAGGGCCUUUGAUACUGGCGAGCUCGAGGGAGGUAGGGGUAUGUGGAACUUCCGGUGGAGCGGUGAAAUGCGUUGAUAUCGGAAGGAACGCCGGUGGCGAAAGCGACGUACUGGACCUCUUCUGACGCUGAGGCGCGAAAGCUAGGGGAGCAAACGGGAUUAGAUACCCCUGUAGUCC